rnacentral:lncRNA from 1 species
GACACCCAAACGAUGGUCGUUUCAGAAAUCAUCGGUCCUACGAUUGAACCCCAACCUGCAAGGACAUUGCCGACCACUUGGCCAGUCUAUGGUUUACCUCCCGGCUUCACACCUCCAGUUGAAGGCGCCCCUGGUUUUGUACAAUCCACUCAGCAGACGGUUCCUCUACCAACAAUCAAUGAAACUCAUCCAGUGGUCCACACGUUCG